rnacentral:snRNA from 1 species
UGUUAAAAGAUAACGCAGGUG